GACGAGCGCUGGCGGCGUGCCUAAUACAUGCAAGUCGAGCGCAGGAAACUGACGGAACUCUUCGGAGGGAAGGCAGUGGAAUGAGCGGCGGACGGGUGAGUAACACGUAAGGAACCUGCCUCAAGGAUUGGGAUAACUCCGAGAAAUCGGAGCUAAUACCGGAUAGUUCAACGGACCGCAUGGUCCGCUGAUGAAAGGCGCUCCGGCCUCACCUAGAGAUGGCCUUGCGGUGCAUUAGCUAGUUGGUGGGGUAACGGCCCACCAAGGCGACGAUGCAUAGCCGACCUGAGAGGGUGAUCGGCCACACUGGGACUGAGACACGGCCCAGACUCCUACGGGAGGCAGCAGUAGGGAAUCUUCCACAAUGGACGAAAGUCUGAUGGAGCAACGCCGCGUGAGUGAUGAGGGUUUUCGGAUCGUAAAACUCUGUUGUAAGGGAAGAACACGUACGAGAGGAAAUGCUCGUACCUUGACGGUACCUUACGAGAAAGCCACGGCUAACUACGUGCCAGCAGCCGCCGUAAUAC
rnacentral:rRNA from 1 species